GUAAAAUAGCAAAACCUUUAGACUAAUACAGGAGUGAUUAAUAGUACCUACAUGAAUGCCAUUUAGCAAUUUCUGCAAGUGGAAUUAGGCCUUAAAAUGGGUGGCCGUGUUUUCAGCCUACCACUUUUAAAUACCGAUGACUGCCAUUUAUUGAGUAACUAUAAUUACAAAUAUUCUGAAUACUAGGAUCAGCAAAUCUUUACAGCAAUGUGGAAAGAUAGCUACACUGUAUUAUCAUUGUCAUUAUAGACAAGGAACGAAGACACAAAAAAUAUUAAGUAACUUGCCCAAGACUUCUACUUAGGUAACAGAGCAAGGAUUCCAACCAAAGACCAGUCUGGCCUCAAAAACUCUGGUCUUU
rnacentral:lncRNA from 10 species